rnacentral:rRNA from 1 species
CAGCCGUAAACUAUGCUCGCUAGGUGUCAGGCAUGGCGCGACCGUGUCUGGUGCCGCAGGGAAGCCGUGAAGCGAGCCACCUGGGAAGUACGGCCGCAAGGCUGAAACUUAAAGGAAUUGGCGGGGGAGCACAACAACGGGUGGAGCCUGCGGUUUAAUUGGACUCAACGCCGGACAACUCACCGGGGGCGACAGCAAUAUGUAGGCCAGGCUGAAGACCUUGCCUGAAUCGCUGAGAGGAGGUGCAUGGCGUAGACGUGU